UCGAUUUUGAUCUUGUUCUUUCCUUUUCUUUUUCUUUAGAUUUUCGUUUGUGAAUUUUGUUAUGAUAUGUGUAUUUCAAGAAACGUUUUCUAAAAUACGAUUCGAUUGAAAUCAGAGAUGUAUGGAAUGAUAAUCUAGAAUACGAAUUUGAAUUUGAAACAAAAUAGUUAAUGAUUUUCAGUAUCAAUAAUAUUUGGAUAAUCGAUGAGGUAUGUAAACUUUGAUGGUGGUUAUGCUCAUCUUGGUUUGUUAAAAUCUGCUAUUUGGUUACUAAAUCAAGAGUCUGAUACUUUAAAGUGUUUAUGGCUUGAUAAUGGAUCUAGGGAUAACUCAAUUAGGGUGAAUAGUUCAGGUAUUGGUCCAGGUUUACUUAAUUUUGGCUAGCCAUACAAUUAAAGUUCAGGUAUUGGUCUCAUAAUUUUACAUUGGCUACAAAUGCUUAGAUAGAAAGUGAUUGGAGAAAAUUUCAGGCUGCAGUUCUCAAACGGGAAUAAGGGAUUAAGAGAGAGUAUAAUGAGCUUGACACCGUCUGGUUUAUGUCAGGAUCACUAUUUGAGCAAUACUUAUAUGAUAUACCUACUGAGGCCUUUCCAUAUGAGAUUUUCAAGCAAGCUUUUGUUGCCGUUCAGCUGAGAUAUUCAAGAUCUUCAUAGCUUCAGUGAAAAGUAUUAUAUUGAUUUAAGUCGUGUUAUUACAUCUAUUACAUCCAGCCAUCCUACACAAUUCAUUUAUCUGAACUACUUUAAAACAACCAUGACAAUACCCAAGGGAAGUUUAUUCAAGUUUUCUACAUGAUGAGCUUGUUUUAGUGGAAUGAAUAGCGAUGGUUCGUGAACUAAUAUUUAACUUUCUAAUGGAGCAGAAAGUUAGUUUGGCAUGAAGAUUUGCUUUAGUUCCUCUAGGGCCACCACUGUUGGCUUACAAAAGCAAUUGCAAGGCCAUGCUUACUACUGUCGAAGGUGUUGUUCAGCUCAUGGUUGACCGCUCAUAUAAGGUUGGGGAGCCAAUUUUAUCUGGUGUGGACCACAACCUAAUUCAAAGCUUUUAAUAAACUAUGGCUUUGUUGAUGAAGAUAACUCCUAUGACCGCAUUUUGGUUGAGGCAUCCCUUAGCACUGAGGAUCCUCAAUACCACGAUAAGAGAAUGGUUGCUCAGCGAAAUAGAAAACUGGCUGUACAAGUCUUUCAGGUUUCUGCUGGCAAAGAAAAAGAAGCAGUUUACGAUAUGCUUCCUUACCUUCGACUAGGCUAUGUUUCAGAUCCGUCUUAGAUGGAGUCCAUGAUUUCUUCUCAAGGCCCUGUAUGUCCAAAAUCUUUCUGGUACCCUUUCAUCAGGGAGCUUGAUCGCCAACGAGGGAGGGUUCAAUUAGCUGCGGAAUCUCCACUUCUAUGGUCAGAAGAUGAACUGGCUUACUUAACUGGGAGCCCUACAAAGGUAUAAUUAGUUGCUCUCAUAAUUGUACAUUGGCUACAAAUGCUUAGUUGAUCUGUGAUUGGGGGUUUUCUGGUAAGAAGCAGCGGCAUCAGUUCAUGAAGCAGUGAGAUCGAUUGUACAUCAACUACAGUAGCAGCAACAGUGGAUUUCAAGUGUUUGUGGUGGUUCUUCCUUUCGAUUCAAACAACAUCAGCGGUAUCAGCUCAAGCAGCAGUGAUAUAAGAGGUACCAGCAUCAAUUUUCUACACAGUACAAUAGCAACAAAUUGGGGGUUUCUACAGUUACAGGUACAAUUCGAGGGGUUCUUCAUGAGAUCUUGAUUUUGGGGAUUAAUGGUAGCAGUGAUGGCAUCAUACACAGCAACAAGAACAAAAACAAGACUGGGGUUUUCCAAAUGCUGUCAACUUACGUUAUUAUAUCUUAUGUUCUUGUUUGUUUCAAUCGUUUUUAGUUAAGACUUGGAGCUAAGAGAAUUGAAGCGGGCGUUGGUUGUCGAGUUUUGAGUCACGUUUUCGGUCGAUUUCUUCGUCGACCGUCCCACCGUGGCAGCGGUCAUCUAGUUAUAUUUUAUCCUAUUUCUGCUAAUAGGUGUCAUUAUAUGUUACUCCUAUGCUUUAAUAUCUUACGUGCGUUUUUUUAACUUUUUGAAGCAUGCAUAUGUAAAUUAUUAGUUUUACAUCUAAGGACAUGAAAAAUUACUGUUAAUUAUGUCACGAUUCAACAUAUGAGUCAGUUGACAAUGCACGAUUUUCAAUACCGUGGUCAUUACUAUAUUCUGAUUUCUGAUGA